AGAAAAUUACAGGCAUGUUCUUAGUUUUAAAUGUCACUCCCCUACUUCUUUUUCUCUCAAAACUCUAUUCUUCCCCUACCCAAUCUAGAAUUUAAUACGAGGUACCACCUGAUUUAACCUAUACUAUACACUUAACUACUGUGAUACCUCAAUUUCUUUUUGGCAGUACUGGGAUUUGAACUCUGGGUCUCACAUUUGCUGGGCAGGUGCUCUACCACUGAGUCAUACUUCCAGCCCUGGUGCCUCAAUUUCUAUAGAAAUUUUUAAAUGACAGUACAAAAAACGAGAAAUCAAAAAUAGUAUAAGUCAUGGCAGAUCAAUUUCCUCAGUGAGUUACAAUCUAGUUACAAGAAACAAAUGAAUUUAGAUCUUUUUAAAUAAGAAAUUCUAAUAAAUUAUGAAAAGGCACUCCAACAAGUCCUACGUAUAACUCUGAAGGGAGUGAGGUCAUUAAAGAAAUGACAUAAUAGUAAUGAGGAAAAAGACAGUUCAAAAUAAAUAGGCUUUUAAGGAAAGAAGGAUUUAACAAGGCUGAGAAAGAAGAGGAGGCAGCCAGUGCCAGUUUCUGACUGUGCUACUGCAGAUCCCAUCAGUUUUAUCUGUACAUGAAAAAAUUGCCAAUUUUAUAUAUUUCAGACUAAAUUCAUUGCCAUAUAUUGCAAAAAUAGACUGGAAGAUAAUACCAAAAACAUCAUUUUUUCUAUAGAGAGUGAUAUUCAUGUUGUUUUAUUUGUUUUUUUAGAUUUUGAAUUUGGGGCAAUAAGUAUUCUUUUAUAAUUAGCAAGAAAGUUUACCUACAUAAUAGUGCCUCCACAUCUCAGUCAGCCAAGCAUCAGUGAUUCACACCUAUAAUUCUAGUUACUCAGGAAGCUAAGAUCUGAAGGGUCAUAGUUUGAAUCUUGCCUAGGCAGAAAACUUCACAGGCCU